rnacentral:tRNA from 1 species
AAGAGAGGCUUGAAGCAAUGAAGACUGCUAAUCUUCACAACCUUAGUUAAAAUCUAAGGCUCCCUUG